rnacentral:rRNA from 1 species
GAUGAACGCUGGCGGCGUGCCUAAUACAUGCAAGUCGAGCGAACAGACGAGGAGCUUGCUCCUCUGACGUUAGCGGCGGACGGGUGAGUAACACGUGGAUAACCUACCUAUAAGACUGGGAUAACUUCGGGAAACCGGAGCUAAUACCGGAUAACAUGUUGAACCGCAUGGUUCAACAGUGAAAGACGGUCUUGCUGUCACUUAUAGAUGGAUCCGCGCCGCAUUAGCUAGUUGGUAAGGUAACGGCUUACCAAGGCAACGAUGCGUAGCCGACCUGAGAGGGUGAUCGGCCACACUGGAACUGAGACACGGUCCAGACUCCUACGGGAGGCAGCAGUAGGGAAUCUUCCGCAAUGGGCGAAAGCAUGACGGAGCAACGCCGCGUGAGUGAUGAAGGUCUUCGGAUCGUAAAACUCUGUUAUUAGGGAAGAACAAAUGUGUAAGUAACUAUGCACGUCUUGACGGUACCUAAUCAGAAAGCCACGGCUAACUACGUG